rnacentral:rRNA from 1 species
UACGUAGGGUGCAAGCGUUGUUCGGAAUUAUUGGGCGUAAAGGGCGCGUAGGCGGUGCGGUAAGUCUGUAGUGAAAUCUCUGGGCUCAACUCAGAGUCUGCUAUAGAAACUGCCGUGCUUGAGUGUGGGAGAGGUGAGUGGAAUUCCUGGUGUAGCGGUGAAAUGCGCAGAUAUCAGGAAGAACACCCGUGGCGAAGGCGGCUCUCUGGAACGCAACUGACGCUGAGACGCGAAAGCGUGGGGAGCAAACAGG